GGUCUGAAAGUGGCUGCUGUUGAACCAGAGUACUACGUGCCUCUACUCUCUCUCGUACACACAGUUGAGAGAGAGAUGGUAUACAAAGCAGCCAGCAUAAGGAUAUGAGGGAGGGAGUCAAGCAUGAGGAUAUCUUUAGCUUCACAUGUAGAUUUUAUUGUUCAUAUGAGCUUUCAGGCGUGGAAGGCUUAGUAGUUGCGGAGCGAAACUGAAUUUUGCUUUGAGCAAGUUUCUCGUGUGGGCUGAGGUGAGUCUUGGAUUUGUAAUUUCUUAUGCUUUAUUCUAUGUUCUUGAAAUGUUGAAAAUUGAAGCAUUAUGUGCUCUCUGUGACGUUGGGAUUCCAAUUUUGCUGCCAUGCUCACAGCUUAUGGUAAUACAUAUAUUUAGAUAGACUAAGUGGAAAUAGCUAAAUCUAAUGCAGCAGCUACAGAGAUCUUAUAGCUUUAGAAUUUCAAUGUUGUCAUGAUAAAUUUUAUGGGGUGUUUGGCGUGCAUCACUGUCCAGUACUCUACAAG
rnacentral:lncRNA from 1 species